rnacentral:rRNA from 1 species
GGUGAACGCUAGCUACAGGCUUAACACAUGCAAGUCGAGGGGAAACGACAUCGAAAGCUUGCUUUUGAUGGGCGUCGACCGGCGCACGGGUGAGUAACGCGUAUCCAACCUGCCCACCACUUGGGGAUAACCUUGCGAAAGUAAGACUAAUACCCAAUGACGUCUCUAGAAGACAUCUGAAAGAGAUUAAAGAUUUAUCGGUGAUGGAUGGGGAUGCGUCUGAUUAGCCUGUUGGCGGGGUAACGGCCCACCAAGGCGACGAUCAGUAGGGGUUCUGAGAGGAAGGUCCCCCACAUUGGAACUGAGACACGGUCCAAACUCCUACGGGAGGCAGCAGUGAGGAAUAUUGGUCAACGGGCGAGAGCCUGAACCAGCCAAGUAGCGUGCAGGAUGACGGCCCUAUGGGUUGUAAACUGCUUUUAUAAGGGAAUAAAGUGAGUCUCGUGAGACUUUUUGCAUGUACCUUAUGAAUAAGGACCGGCUAAUUCCGUGCCAGCCGCCGCCGUAA